rnacentral:sRNA from 1 species
UAUAACGAAUUAACCAUUUUUAAGUUUUUUAUGCUGCGCUAGUACAAAGUGAGUAUUACCCUUUUAACUAAAAGGGUUAUUGUUCGGUAUCAAUGAGGCAAUAAAAAAGCGCCCGCAGGCGCUUUAAAA